GGCCUGGUGGUGUAAUGGUAACACCCUUGCAUUAUAUUAAAUAAGUGGCAAGUAGUUUCUGCAGGAGUUCCUUGUUCGACUCAAGGCCAGGCUU